UUGGGCCUUAACCAAAAACGUAGCCCAUUAGUCUUCUUAGGACCAAACCACACAAAGCCCAACACCUUUCUUCUUGUUGACUUUGCUCCUUCUUCUCUAUGUGUCGUUGACCUUGUCACGACUUCUUCUUCUUCUUCCUUUGCCUUUGCUCUAUGAGCACUUCUUCUUCUCGCUGAAGCUUCUUCUUCUUCUGCAGGUUUAAUCAAAGGUUCAAUUCCAACACUCCCUCUUGAACCCUUUGAUUAAAACCCCAAUUUCAAUUUAGGGAUUUUAAUCCCAUUGCUCCUUGCUUUUUCUUCAUCAUCUUCCUCUUGCUUCGAUUCUUCUUAAUCGAGCUUCUUUCUAUAUCUGUGGUUCUUAGCUUCUCCGACGACAGCUAGAGGUCACAACUCUCACCGAUCACCAGUCACUUCCGCCGUCUUCAACCACCACUUCCGUAAGUUUGCUCUUCUCCCUCUUAAGCUGAAUCUCCAUGGAUCCAACCCUUUUCUUUCAUUUUUUUGUGCGAAUAUCUUUGCCAUCUCUUGGCUAGUUUUCUUCGCAAUUUCCUCUGUUUCUUUGAUCAAUUUCUGACCAAAAACUUUUCUUUGCAGGAAAGACUUCAGCUCUUCCGCUUCAUGUCUCCUCCAAGUUUUCUCCGUGAGCUCUUCUCACGUCUCUUGCUCGGCUGACGUUGCAACCGGCUUCAGCUCCCACUGUGGUGAGCUUCUUCUUUGCUUGGUGUCAACUGUGAUCACCAGCCUUGUUCUCUCUCUUUUUUUUUUUUUCGAUUCUCCAAACCAUCACCUUAGCUUUAGCCUUGGACUUUUGACUCUGGCACCAUCACCCGGCUUCUCUUACCGUAGUCUCUUAGGUUUCUCCAUGAGUUUCAUCCUUGCUUUCUUUGCCUUAGUCGUUUGGUUCUUUGAAUCUCCACCUCGGUUUUUCUCUAACCUUAGCUUGUUAGGCUCUUGAAUCAUCAACCUCCGCUUUCUCGGACUUGGUUUGUUUGACUCCUUGAACCGUUGGCUUUGGUCUUUCUCUAACCUUGGCUUCUCCUUCUCGUUUUCAGGUUUUGAUCCACUCAGAUUUCAACCCUAGUCACUGAUUGGAGCUUCUUAACACCAGUGCUGCCACCUUAAUUGCUUCCUCUUUGACGCAAGGCUUCACUGCCUACAUUUCAUCUUAGAGGUUGCAACCAAGCUUGCAUUGGUGCCGUUUUUUCUUGUUCUACUUCAGCCACAGAAUUCUCCCUCUCGGUUUUGCACUUCACAGGUUUGUCCUUGGCAUCAACCUUCUUCUCAAUCCAUCUUUGUGAAUUGUAACGUUGUUGAACCUUGAACUCUGUUUCAUGCACACUAACCUUAUGAGUUUCUGUUAAGAUGGCUGCAGCAACUCUUCAUUUGUCUUGAGCUCAGGUCCACUCAAGAACUUUUUGCCUAUGAGCUCAGGUCCGCUCAAGGCUUCUCUUCCAGAGGUUUGUCACUUCAACCUUUGUUCUUCUUCAUUCAUCUUUGCCGUUUCCUUCUUACGGCCCACUUCUUCUUCUCUUCAGUCUUUCUUCUUAGACUGACAUCUUCUCCUUGAACAGGCUCCAAGGAUAACUACAGCUCUGAUACCAUGUUGCAUUUUCAGGUUCUUCCUCUAUUUAACCUUUAGAGGUUCACCAUCUCUCACACUCUCUUUAGUAUCUCUCUGUUUCUUUUGUUGUUGAAACAGAGAUUACCUUGUUCUCUCUUUACUCUCUUUGAUUGUUACACAAACGUUUAGUAAGAGAGAAGAGAGAAACAAUUAAUUGUCUACAUCUUGUUUAUUGGAUCAAAGGAUACUUUUCUUACAAGAUACACACACAUAGAUAUAGUGGUUUUUCUACUGACCACACACAUUUGCAACCAUACUUCUACUUAGACCUAGACCUUACUUCUAGACAUCAUUACCUAAGCUUAUAACCAAGCUCACAAGCAAGGUUAACCAACAACUCUUACACAACUCUAGUCUUUAGCUAGCACUUUAACUAACAAAACACACUUCCUUUACUUUGGGCCUUAACCAAAAACGUAGCCCAUUAGUCUUCUUAGGACCAAACCACACAAAGCCCAACACCUUUCUUCUUGUUGACUUUGCUCCUUCUUCUCUAUGUGUCGUUGACCUUGUCACGACUUCUUCUUCUUCUUCCUUUGCCUUUGCUCUAUGAGCACUUCUUCUUCUCGCUGAAGCUUCUUCUUCUUCUGCAGGUUUAAUCAAAGGUUCAAUUCAAAGCUGUUAAAUGAAAAACUAAAUUUUGUUUGUAACUC
rnacentral:lncRNA from 1 species